rnacentral:rRNA from 1 species
CACGUAGUUAGCCGGAGCUUCUUCUGUGGGUACCGUCAUCGUCGUCCCCACUGAAAGCGGUUUACAACCCGAGGGCCGUCGUCCCGCACGCGGCGUUGCUGCGUCAGGGUUUCCCCCAUUGCGCAAAAUUCCCCACUGCUGCCUCCCGUAGGAGUCUGGGCCGUAUCUCAGUCCCAAUGUGGCCGGUCGACCCCUCAGUCCGGCUACCCAUCGCGGGCUAGGUGGGCCGUUACCCCGCCUACUACCUAAUGGGCCGCGACCCCAUCCCUUGCCGUCUGGGCUUUCCCGGCCCCUCAUGCGGAGGGGCCGGAGUAUCCGGUAUUAGCCGCCGUUUCCAGCGGUUGUCCCGGAGCAAGGGGCAGGGUUGGUCACGUGUUACUCACCCGUUCGCCACUCUAUGUCCGCCCGAGGGCGGUUUAAUCGUUCGACUUGCAUGUGUUAAGCACGCCGCCAGCGUUCAUCCUGAGCCAGGAUCAAAACUCU